rnacentral:rRNA from 1 species
UAAGGAAUAUUGGUCAAUGGAGGCAACUCUGAACCAGCCAUGCCGCGUGCAGGAAGACUGCCCUACGGGUUGUAAACUGCUUUUAUCCGGGAAUAAACCUUUCUACGUGUAGAGAGCUGAAUGUACCGGAAGAAUAAGGAUCGGCUAACUCCGUGCCAGCAGCCGCGGUAAUACGGAGGAUCCAAGCGUUAUCCGGAUUUAUUGGGUUUAAAGGGUGCGUAGGCGGCCUGUUAAGUCAGGGGUGAAAGACGGUAGCUCAACUAUCGCAGUGCCCUUGAUACUGAUGGGCUUGAAUUGACUAGAGGUAGGCGGAAUGAGACAAGUAGCGGUGAAAUGCAUAGAUAUGUCUCAGAACACCGAUUGCGAAGGCAGCUUACUAUGGUUUUAUUGACGCUGAGGCACGAAAGCGUGGGGAUCGAACA